rnacentral:ncRNA from 1 species
UAUAUUUGCCCUUCAAUUUUGAGAAACAAGAUUGUUAGCAUAAAAAUUAUUUAAAAAAUAUUGGAAUG